CAGCAGAUCAAGAUCGGGAGUUUCACAAAGUGAGACCCAUCGUGCGCCAAGUCCAGGCAUGUCGAGCCUGCGCAGCCCGGACCAACCGAAAUUCUGCUGCCAUUGGCCGUUUUCAAACACGCGCACUGGCUGGCCCCCAUAGGAUAAGAUAGCCUGCACCACGGACAAUCCACGAGGCGCCUUUGCGCNGGACCUCGUCGAUCUGCUGCCAGCCAGCGACCAGCUGCGUCAGUGCUGCAUGUGAAAGUGC
rnacentral:misc_RNA from 1 species